AUUGAACGCUGGCGGCAGGCCUAACACAUGCAAGUCGAACGAGUGGCGGACGGGUGAGUAAUGUCUGGGAAACUGCCCGAUGGAGGGGGAUAACUACUGGAAACGGUAGCUAAUACCGCAUACCAUCAGAUGUGCCCAGAUGGGAUUAGCUAGUUGGUGGGGUAACGGCUCACCUAGGCCACGAUUCCUAGCUGAUCUGAGAGGAUGAUCAGCCACACUGGGACUGAGACACGGCCCAGACUCCUACGGGAGGCAGCAGUAGGGAAUAUUGCACAAUGGGCGAAAGUCUGAUCGAGCCAUGCCGCGUGUAUGAAGAAGGUCUUCGGGUCGUAAAGCACUUUCGGUGGGGAGGCGGUACCUGAAGAAGAAGCAACGGCUAACUCCGUGCCAGCAGCCGCGGUAAUAC
rnacentral:rRNA from 1 species